UACGUAGGGUGCGAGCGUUACUCGGAAUUACUGGGCGUAAAGCGUGCGCAGGCGGUUUUGUAAGCCAGAUGUGAAAUCCCCGGGCUCAACCUGGGAAUGGCAUUUGGGACUGCAAGGCUGGAGUUUGGCAGAGGAGACUGGAAUUCCUGGUGUAGCAGUGAAAUGCGUAGAUAUCAGGAGGAAUACCGAUGGCGAAGGCAGGUCUCUGGGCUAUAACUGACGCUCAUGCACGAAAGCGUGGGGAGCAAACAGG
rnacentral:rRNA from 1 species